rnacentral:rRNA from 1 species
CCUACGGGGGGCAGCAGUCGGGAAUAUUGCGCAAUGGAGGAAACUCUGACGCAGUGACGCCGCGUAUAGGAAGAAGGUUUUCGGAUUGUAAACUAUUGUCGUUAGGGAAGAAAAAAGACAGUACCUAAGGAGGAAGCUCCGGCUAACUACGUGCCAGCAGCCGCGGUAAUACGUAGGGAGCAAGCGUUAUCCGGAAUUAUUGGGUGUAAAGGGUGCGUAGACGGGAGUCUAAGUUAGUUGUGAAAUCCCUCGGCUCAACUGAGGAACUGCAACUAAAACUGGACAUCUUGAGUGCAGGAGAGGAA